rnacentral:lncRNA from 1 species
UUUUUUUCCUAAUAAAUAGGGCAUUAAUUUCAGUCAAAAUGUAUCAUCUAAGAAGUCCAAUUUAAUACACCGUCCGAUGAGAAAAAACUGAUCUAAGUGGUCAUACAUCUCAGCUUACAAGUUAGAAACGCUGGAUUCCAAUCUUGUCUUGAGUGAUAUAUCCUCCAAAAAUGAUUCAUCUAAUUCAUGUAUGGAUGAGAUUUCUUCUCAAGUAAAAAAUCCUGGAUUAUGUCCAAAAUAUGCUUGUGGCACUCCUUGAUGAAUGAAAAUUCCUCUUGAUUUCGAGAAAAAAA